GACGAGGUGGCCGAGUGGUUAAGGUGAUAGACUGCUAAUCCAUUGUGCUCUGCAGAAGUGAGUUCAGAUCCAUCCUCGUAA
rnacentral:tRNA from 1 species